GAGUUUGAUCCUGGCUCAGGACGAACGCUGGCGGCGUGCCUAACACAUGCAAGUCGAGCGGAGAUAGACUUCGGUCUAUUUUAGCGGCGGACGGGUGAGUAACGCGUGAGUAACCUGCCUCUAAGCGGGGGAUAACACAGCGAAAGCUGUGCUAAUACCGCAUAAAGUUUACAUACCGCAUGGUAAGUAAACCAAAGGAGUAAUUCACUUAGAGAUGGACUCGCGUCCGAUUAGCUAGUUGGCGAGGUAACUGCUCACCAAGGCGACGAUCGGUAGCCGGACUGAGAGGUCGAACGGCCACAUUGGGACUGGGACAC
rnacentral:rRNA from 1 species